GAUGAACGCUGGCGGCGUGCUUAACACAUGCAAGUCGAACGAUGAAGCCCAGCUUGCUGGGUGGAUUAGUGGCGAACGGGUGAGUAACACGUGAGUAACCUGCCCUUAACUCUGGGAUAAGCCUGGGAAACUGGGUCUAAUACCGGAUAGGAGCGUCCACCGCAUGGUGGGUGUUGGAAAGAUUUAUCGGUUUUGGAUGGACUCGCGGCCUAUCAGCUUGUUGGUGAGGUAAUGGCUCACCAAGGCGACGACGGGUAGCCGGCCUGAGAGGGUGACCGGCCACACUGGGACUGAGACACGGCCCAGACUCCUACGGGAGGCAGCAGUGGGGAAUAUUGCACAAUGGGCGCAAGCCUGAUGCAGCGACGCCGCGUGAGGGAUGACGGCGUUCGGGUUGUAAACCUCUUUCAGUAGGGAAGAAGCGAAAGUGACGGUACCUGCAGAAGAAGCACCGGCUAACUACGUG
rnacentral:rRNA from 1 species